rnacentral:rRNA from 1 species
GACGAACGCUGGCGGCGUGCUUAACACAUGCAAGUCGAACGGAAAGGCCCUGCUUUUGUGGGGUGCUCGAGUGGCGAACGGGUGAGUAACACGUGAGUAACCUGCCCUUGACUUUGGGAUAACUUCAGGAAACUGGGGCUAAUACCGGAUAGGAGCUCCUGCUGCAUGGUGGGGGUUGGAAAGUUUCGGCGGUUGGGGAUGGACUCGCGGCUUAUCAGCUUGUUGGUGGGGUAGUGGCUUACCAAGGCUUUGACGGGUAGCCGGCCUGAGAGGGUGACCGGCCACAUGGGGACUGAGAUACGGCCUAGACUCCUACGGGAGGCAGCAGUGGGGAAUAUUGCACAAUGGGCGGAAGCCUGAUGCAGCAACGCCGCGUGCGGGAUGACGGCCUUCGGGUUGUAAACCGCUUUCGCCUGUGACGAAGCGUGAGUGACGGUAAUGGGUAAAGAAGCACCGGCUAACUACGUG